rnacentral:lncRNA from 1 species
GAGGGGACCCCUCUGGAAUCCGGCGAUCCCCGGGCGCAGAUGCAGGAGCGGGUGGGGAGAGCCGCGUUCCUGGCAUGUUUGCCUCGAGUUAGUCACGAAGGAAUCGAAGAGAGCCUUAGUCUUCGAGGCUUUUCCCUUCCUGUGAGCCCCUUUGAGGCCAGCACAUUGAUUUUUUUUUCUUUCGCAGAACAAUUUCGGACCUCCUGGGGUCUAUGCUAGGUAUGAGGUGUAUCUUUGCCCUCCAUCAAGUAGCAAAGAUGGACAUGUAAACAAAUUUCGACACUGUGAUGACUGCCACAAAAAGCAGCAUUAUGAGGUUGAAUGUAAAAGGAUAACCUUAGCGGCGGCGGGGGCCGGAGGAUGAAGGAAGGCUUCCUGAGAGUCUACAAAUAAACAUUUUAUAAAGAUGAUCCUUCAAUACAUAUUCUACAGCCCAGUUAAAAUGUGAGAGGCCAUGAUCUACAGACAGCCAUUUAUAAAGGUGGAUCAGGGCCGGACACGGUGGCUCAACGUCUGUAAUCCCGGCACUGUGGGAGGCCAAAGCGGGAGGAUCGCUUGAGCCCAGGAGUUCGAGACCAACCUGGCCAACAUGGUGAGACCCCAUCUUUACAAAAAAAUAUAUAUAUCCAGGCAUAGUGGUGUGCACCUGUGGUCCUGUGGUCCCAGCUACUCAGGAAGCUGAGGCAGUUGAGGCUGCAGUGAGCCACGUUCUGGCCACUACACUCCAGCCUGGGCAUCAAAGUGACAAGAC